GACGUAGGGCGCGAGCGUUGUCCGGAUUUAUUGGGCGUAAAGAGCUCGUAGGCGGCUUGUCGCGUCGACUGUGAAAUCCCGCGGCUCAACUGCGGGUCUGCAGUCGAUACGGGCAGGCUAGAGUUCGGUAGGGGAGACUGGAAUUCCUGGUGUAGCGGUGAAAUGCGCAGAUAUCAGGAGGAACACCGGUGGCGAAGGCGGGUCUCUGGGCCGAUACUGACGCUGAGGAGCGAAAGCAUGGGGAGCGAACAGG
rnacentral:rRNA from 1 species